UAUAGCAGUUAUACUACUAUAAUACUAACAUAAUAUACUUUUCUAGCAGAAGAGUGGUGGUAAUACUUUAUAGCAGUUAUACUACUAUAAUACUAACAUGUUAUACUAGUAUAGCAGUAAUACUACUAUAAUACUAACAUGAUAUACUGGUAUAGCAGGAGAGAUGAGGAGAGAAUCAUCAUAAAGAUACAUAUUAAUAUAUGUAUAUUCUUGUUAUAUUAUGUAUAUUCAGUUAUAUUACAAUAAUACAGAGGAGAGGUAGUUUAGCUGAGAAGAGAUGGGAAAGAUUAACACUGCAUCUAAUUCCUCUCUCUCUCUCGCUCUGUCUCUCAUCCCCCUCUCUCUACAGAUGGCGGACACCAUUGACAUCAACUUCCAGAGCGACUUGAUGGUCAUCUUUGAAGAGAACCUUUUCUGAGAGAGAGAUUGAGAAAGGAGGAGAGGGAGAGAAAGAGAUAUGAACUCUACCUUAUCCCACCAUGGCUGGGAUUUCACACACAACACCCUCCCUCCCUCUGAUUAGAGACCCCAGACCAGGAUGUGAGCUCCAGAGACUUGAAGGAGACUGAGAUGCGUUUUUUUGUGUCUAACUGCCCGUUUAUCGUUGAUGAUUGGUGGUUGCCGUGGGCAAUGGUGAAACCGGAUACCUAUGGAUAAACAGAUAUGUGAACUCCUCUUGUAUUCUGAAAUGAAACCGGAGGGAGGAGGGGAGGACUGAGAACUAUUACCUGAACAUAAAGAAUAAAAAGAGGGUUUAAUGGAGAAAGAAGAUGUGAACACCUUCUAACGUGCGAGAGGGAGGGCCGGGCGAACGAGAGGAUGGACAGACUUCUUUCUCUUUGAUUCAUUUCUCUCUUAAUCUAGAAUUUUUCUCUCCCUGUUUUUUGAUGUUGGGUUUUAUUAAGCGGGGUGGGUGAGGAGAUGGGGGAGGGAGAAGUGGGCCGGCUGUGUGUGUUACCAUGUUUACGUCCCAAAAGGGCACCCUAUUCCCUUCAUAUAGUGCACUACUUGUGUCCAGGGCCCAUGGGGAUCUGAUCAAAAGUGGUGCGCUAUAUAGGGAGUAGGGUGCCAUUUGGGACUUAUCCUCUGAGAUGGGUUCAGUUUCUCUCCGGACAGCAAGAUGAACACCGGGCUCACACCCCAGCACUAUAAAGAAGCACCCUUCCUUCCUUCCUUCCUUCCUUCUUACUCUCCUUGUCCUUUGUGACAUCACUGACUUGACACAACUUGAAAGUGUAAAAGCUUGAACUCCAUUUUUUCAGUCAUAUCUGAUUCAUUGAUUAUUUCAAGAAAGGAGGCAGAGAGGGAAGAAAGGAGGCAGAGAGGGAGGGAAGGAAGGAGGGAACGAGGGGAAAAAGAGGAAGGAUGAGGGAAAAGAGGAAGGAUGAGUGAAGAAAGGAGGCAGAGAGGGAAGGAAGGAGGGAACGAGGGGAAAAAGAGGAAGGAUGAGUGAAGAGAGGAGGGAGAGAGGGAAGGAAGGAGGGAACGAGGGUAAAAAGAGGAAGGAUGAGUGAAGAGAGGAGGGAGAGAGGGAAGGAAGGAGGGAACGAGGGGAAAAAGAGGAAGGAUGAGUGAAGAAAGGAGGGAAGGAAGGAGGGAAGGAAGAGAGGGAAGAAAGGAGGGAAGGAAGAGAGGGAAGAAAAGAGGGAAGGAAGAGAGGGAAGAAAAGAGGGAAGAAAGGAGGGAAGGAAGGAAGAGGGGGAGGGCGGGGUACAUUUUAAAGGUGUUGGAAUGUGGCUCUUGCCUUACAGCUCUGACCUGUAAAUGAACACACGCCACUGAUAUAUAUAUAUAUAAAUAAAUAAAUAAAUAUUAUAUACGAUGAAAAGUCCCUAAAAAUAAUUGGAUUAUGUUGUUGGGAGGGAGAACGGCUAAUCUGCCUUGUGCUCAAUUCCCUUUUGGUUUUUUAGAGAAUUGAC
rnacentral:lncRNA from 1 species